ACAUGAUUUCUGAAAAAGAAAAAGAUCAAUGCAGUCUGAUGAUCUCUGCUGGCACACCAGGAGGGGACUCCCCAACACAAGCCUGCAAGUACUAUGACCACCAGUGUCUGCUGUGCUACCAGGAUGUUUUGGAAAAAUGCAGGUCUCUUCCCAAACAAUCUUCUUACUCUGGAUGGGUUGUAGAUCACAUCCUCCCCAAUACUGCAUGGCACUCACAAGAGAAUGCUCCUUACUCUGAUAUCUCACCAUCUGAAUCUGUAUCAGGCCUGUACCAAUUUGCAACACUCAUAGAGUUGACUUUUUAGGAUUGAGUUCUAUGUAGCUCAUGUAUCUGUAUGGAAAUUUACCCCCUUCUUUCAAACAUUCCAAUUUUUCCUACCUGUUUUUUUGGGGGGGGGGGGUGAGACAGUGUUUCUUUGUGUAGCCCUGGCUAGCCUGCAACUC